AUUCUGUUCAAGGUCUUCUAAAGGCGUCUGCAAUGCUCUUGCGACCGUUAGCUAAAUAUGUGUCCACAAUUCCCCCUUUUUUGUUUUUCGACAAUUAUCACCUGCUGUAUUGCCCUUUGCAAAAACCUAUGAACACAGUUAAUUAAACACAGCAAAAGCAACAUUGUACCGAAUAAAAUACAUAAGAAUAAAAGACUGUUCAGGUAAUGCCAAUGACACACAAAAAGGGGUUUGAUUAAUAGCUUUAGCCAGUAUCACCCAAACAUUCUUACUGUCCCACGGUGUUAAACGAUGUGGAUCAAUCACCGGUGUCACUGUCAUGCUGCUUACUACAGUCAGUGUGUUCCAUAUCAAUCUCAGCAUAAGGUUUCAAAUUUAUGGGCAAAC